GGGCUCUCAGAAGGCGGGAAAAAGCUGAACGAUGUAAUUCCAUCCCCAGGCUGAAACACAUUAGCGCGUUUGGCAAGUGCUCUAUCAGAGGGCCAUUAGACUGAGGCUCGUGCAUGAGGGGAUAGCAUGCUUUUACUUUCACUCUCUUUGUAAUAAAAAAUGAUUUCCCGGUCGGAAUAUUAUCGCUUUUUUACGAGAAAAAUUGCAUAAAAAUUGAUUUUAAACAGCGGUUGACAUGCUUCGAAGUACGGUAAUGGAAUAUUUAGAAUGUUUUUGUCAAGAAAUGCGCCAUGCUCGUCACCCUUAUUUACCCUUUCGGAUAGUGUCUUGAACGCACAAACAAAACGCCGCUAUUUGGAUAUAACAAUGGAUUAUUUGGGACCAAACCAACAUUUGUUAUUGAAGUAGAAGUCCUGGGAGUGCAUUCUGACGAAGAACAGCAAAGCUGCUGCUUUGCCAAGUCACGCUACCGCCGGCCGUACCGGCUACUGAGGAAGAUCUGUCAGUUGAUCCCCACCGUUCCGGCCUGCCUACUGGAGAUCAGCCCUGUAGCCCACCGCCUGGCCACCGUACCCUGGGACAGAACCCUGUACUACCCCUCUACGCCCUGCAGACAAUCAGAUAUUCAGAUGGAUCCUAUAGACGGAGCACAGAUCGAGGCUCAGGAGGAAACUAAAGCUGCAAAGAAGUCCAAUAGCAACAACAAUAAAGGCUCCCAUUUAGCCACAGCUCACACCUUACCUUCAUGGAGGGACCAUAAGAACAUGCCUGAGAGCACACUUCCCUCGACCCUCGCCCGCAGCCGGACACUCCCCUUGGCCCCCGCCCACAGCCAGAAGUCCACAAUAGACCUGAAUUCGCUUACUGUCUAAAGCACCCCUGGUCUCAACACAGACCCCCAGAUACUCACACUACAAGCAGACACAGGUGUGGUGGUUGGUGUCUAACUGGUUGAUUGAUUGAUUAAUUGAUUGACAGAUUGAAUUGAUUUGAUCAUUAAAAGUAGAAGGCUGCUCCAGGCAGAGACAUGACAUACAUUAAAGUGCAGUCAAACACGUGAUCUUCCUA
rnacentral:lncRNA from 1 species